rnacentral:rRNA from 1 species
UACGUAGGGUGCGAGCGUUGUCCGGAAUUAUUGGGCGUAAAGAGCUCGUAGGCGGUCUGUCGCGUCUGCUGUGAAAACUCGGGGCUUAACCCCGGGCCUGCAGUGGGUACGGGCAGACUAGAGUGCGGUAGGGGAGACUGGAAUUCCUGGUGUAGCGGUGAAAUGCGCAGAUAUCAGGAGGAACACCGGUGGCGAAGGCGGGUCUCUGGGCCGUAACUGACGCUGAGGAGCGCAAGCAUGGGGAGCGAACAGG